GGGUUGCAACAUACUUUUAUUCAUUUAUUUGUGUACAGCUUCCACUGGACAACUUUUUAAUUUUUAUACAUUUCUAAUAUUUGUUAAUGCAUUUUGUAUGUUUGUUUUUAGUUUCUGUGUUCAUGUUUGUGUCAUGUUCAUUUGAAGUGUAUCAGUUUUUCGUCACUCAUUCAUACCGUCGGUCAUGUCAAGUCACAGUUUAAGAUGGGUUAUCAAAAGCAAACGAACACACCAAAAGGAAAAAUAAAAAAUAAGAUGUUUUUGAAAAUAAAUACAAUUAAAAAGAUAGAAAUGAGAGGACCAGGUCAGUGUUUAAAUCAGGGUUGGUCAGUUAAUAUGGUGAAUGAAAAAUACUUUACAAACAAAUAGCAUUGUAAACUGCAGCUGUGGCAUUUUUGACAAAGGUGAGCAGUAUAUUGCCGUGGCUGGGGUUUUUAGCAGACUGUUAUCUCCAAGUAUACACAUUUCUAGGACGGAAGACGACAAAAGUCCAAUUCAAUUUUAUCUUUAUUUUCUUUUUCAUUUCUAAUGAAAUAAUUUUCCUGACCACAGGAUCCUGAUACUAGAACACACAUUGAUGGUUUCCCCAGCUCAGAUGCUACAUGCAUGUAGCAGUACCCGACUCUGCGUUACCAUGUCAUUGACUAACAGACAGCUAGACGCUGUGGACAGUUGACACAUCAGAUAUCCAGAUGUUCUGAUCUCAGAGAAACAUGGUCAAUAACGAGAACCGUGUGAAUUUACCAGCACGUCAGUAAACAAAAUGUUACACUUUCAAUAUUCCACCAAAAGCAUCUCGGCACUCUGAAGGGGGGAAUUACAAAUGUGGAUGACUCGUUCAGCUAAUAUGUAUACUGUAUACCUCGUACGCAUAGCUCCCCAUUUGAAUAUUUUAUAAUCAUUAUUUUUCUAUGUAAAUUAUUUUACACAUCUGCAUUCCUGAAUGGAAUCUGUAAAACUGUAGAUCAAUCCCCUCUGACCCUGGAACAGAGGGCCAAAACCCUGAAUAAUAAGCGGGAAUAAGAAUGCCGUAUGCUCUGUCCCAAGUGGCACCCAAUUUUACAGUCAAAAAUAGGCCACUGACCAGGGGACAGGGCAGACCUCCCUGGGUUUGGCUGAUUUUUAGAGAGUAUUUAUUGCAAGUCUGGUUAGAAGGUUACUGGUUCUCAGACAUAGCUUAUAUUUAGCUUCCCAUCUCAAAACAACCACUGCUGAUGACAUUUUCUAAAUCAAAGACAGUUGAGAGAUGUCUAUGCACAAGUGAUUGCUUGUUGGGUUAGUUGACUGGGUCUUGUGAGCCAUAUGAUUUAAGCCACAAAUAAAAACAACAAAAAAAACAACAUACAUGUAAUGGCACUGCUCCUCAAAGUAAAAAAAAAGAAAAAAUCCAAAUAGACCUUUGGUGAGACGUCGUUUGAAAUUGUCCGUUCCUUUUUUUCAGAGCCAAGAGAAACCGUUUGAAUGUAGAAAUAUGCUACGUAAAACAAGUAUGAAAAGUAGGAUAAGGAAUUGUGUUGGCUCUAUUCUUGGCAUUACAAUGUUAGGCUACUGAAUGGCAGACCGUAUCGGCCAGAUACCGAAACAGACCCAAUAACUGCAUCCAGAAGCUUUUCCAAACCAUAAGACACAACAUUGCGCAAUAAGACGCAGUGAAGUUUUCGCCAUAGACUAACAUUUGAUUUUGACUGCAGUUUCUUUAUAUUGUCUGAACUGCCCUUCAAU
ensembl:lncRNA